rnacentral:rRNA from 1 species
GUCGUAACAAGGCAUAUCAAUAAGCGGAGGAUGGAAGUAAAAAGUCGUAACAAGGUUUCCGUAGGUGAACCUGCGGAAGGAUCAUUAUCGUGCAACGAGAGGCGCCAGGGCUGUCGCUGACCCCCCUUUUCGAGAGGUCGUGCACGCCCGGGGUGUCCUCACACAAUCCCAUCACACACCCCCCUUUGUGCACCACCGCGUGGGCUCCUUUGGGUCGCUUCGAUCCAAGCGGGGCUUGCGCUUUUUACACGAACGUGCGGUUAUGGAAUGUCCUAGCGAUUGUACGCAAUCAAUACAACUUUCAACAACGGAUCUCUUGGCUCUCGCAUCGAUGAAGAACGCAGCGAAAUGCGAUACGUAAUGUGAAUUGCAGAAUUCAGUGAAUCAUCGAAUCUUUGAACGCACCUUGCGCCCCUUGGCAUUCCGAGGGGCACACCCGUUUGAGUGUCGUGAAUUCCUCAACCUUCUGCUUUCCUUGAUAGCAGGAGGCUUGGACUUUGGAGGUUCUUGCCGGCCUCUCUUCAGAAGCCAGCUCCUCUUAAACGGAUUAGCAGGGUCUGCCUUUGGCCGAUCCUCGACGUGAUAAGCUGCUUCUACGUCUUGGAUUUGGCUCUGCCUCUUUUUGAGACCUGCUUCUAAUCGUCUCGGUCGCCCUUUCUUUGUCAGAAAGAGGGGGUGGACUUUGACCCACGAACCCUUUGACCUCAAAUCGGGUGAGACUACCCGCUGAACUUAAGCAUAUCAAUAA